CCCUUAGAUGUCCGGGGCCGCACGCGCGCUACACUGAUGCAUUCAACGAGCCUAUCCUUGACCGACAGGUCCGGGUAAUCUUUGAAUCUGCAUCGUGACGGGGAUAGAUUAUUGCAAUUAUUAAUCUUCAACGAGGAAUGCCUAGUAGGCGCAAGUCAUCAGCUUGCGUCGAUUACGUCCCUGCCCUUUGUACACACCGCCCGUCGCUCCUACCGAUUGGGUGUGCUGGUGAAAUGUUCGGAUCGGCCGUUUGUCGCGGUUUCCGCGUCAUGUGGCUGAGAAGUUCAUUAAACCCGCCCACCUAGAGGAAGGAGAAGUCGUAACA
rnacentral:rRNA from 1 species